rnacentral:rRNA from 1 species
AUUGAACGCUGGCGGCAGGCCUAACACAUGCAAGUCGAGCGCGAGGCAGACGGGUGAGUAAUGUCUGGGAAACUGCCAGAUGGAGGGGGAUAACGACUGGAAAAGGUAGAUAAAAACGCAUAACAUCAGAUGUUGCCAGAUGGGAUUAGCUAGUAGGUGGGGUAAUGGUUCACCCAGGCGACGAUCCCUAGCUGGUCUGAGAGGAUGACCAGCCACACUGGAACUGAGACACGGUCCAGACUCUUACGGGAGGCAGCAGUGGGGAAUAUUGCACAAUGGGCGAAAGCCUGAUGCAGCCAUGCCGCGUGUGUGAAGAAGGCCUUCGGGUUGUAAAGCACUUUCAGCGGGGAGGCGUUACCCUCAGAAGAAGCACCGGCUAACUCCGUGCCAGCAGCCGCGGUAAUAC